AACGAACGCUGGCGGCAUGCCUAACACAUGCAAGUCGAACGAUGCCUUCGGGCAUAGUGGCGCACGUGUGCGUAACGCGUGGGAAUCUGCCCUUGGGUUCGGAAUAACAGUGAGAAAUUGCUGCUAAUACCGGAUGAUGUCUUCGGACCAAAGAUUUAUCGCCCAGGGAUGAGCCCGCGUAGGAUUAGCUAGUUGGUGGGGUAAUCGCCUACCAAGGCGACGAUCCUUAGCUGGUCGGAGAGCAUGAUCAGCCACACGGGGACUGAGACACGGCCCCGAGUCCGACAGGAGGCCGGAGUAGGGAAUAUUGGACAAGGGGCGCGAGACUGAUCCAGCGAUGCCGCGUGAGUGAUGAAGCCCUUAGGGUUGUAAAGCUCUUUUACCCGGGAGGAUAAUGACAGUACCGGGAGAAUAAGCUCCGGCUAACUCCGUG
rnacentral:rRNA from 1 species